GUUCCUACCUGCAGGAAACUAUAGCGGAGGGGCUAAACAUUAACUCCUGAUUAAUCUUUAACAGCUGCAACCAAUAAGAGAUUAGAAUUUCGUUUUUCCUUCUUUAGUGCUAUGUUCAAUCUAAGAAACAUGCGAGUUUUUUAAGUUUAAAAUCUCAAAAAAUUAUUUUUCUGAGAUUUGAUUGGACUGAAUUCGGUCGUAAGAGAUUGUCAGAAGGAAAAUACGAAAUGUGAGACGAGAGAACGCAUGUUUCCCAAGGUCUCUGGUAGAGUGUUACAGACUGUAGAUUUAGCAGAACCUCGAAAGAAAAGACCACAGGCUUUGGAAGGUAGAAAUUAAAUGGUGUACGUGGCACCUUGCAGGAUGAUUCACGUAGCCAAAACUGCAGUGUGAGUGCCUUGUUGACAGGUAUCUCAACUUCUUCCUUCGAUUAUCCUACAUUUCUAUUUCAUACACCAUUAUAGACAUUUUCUGAACAGUGAAGCAUAAUAGUCAUAAAAGGACUAAUGCACCAUUCUUUACUUUUCCUUUUUACAUGCCAGAAAGCUUUAUCUCGGUGAUAAGGGUUUGACAUUAGAAGCAUACACAGAGCACAUGCUAACUACCACUAUAAUAUCAGCGAUAGAAAAAAACCUUAACAGAGAAUUCCUUUUCUGGUUUUGUUUUGCAGAUGUGAUUUGGAUAGCUUUGCAUUGUAUACCAGUGUAGUAAAAUACUGUUCAUCUUCUUUCCUGAAUGCAGAAUCAUUUUUACAUAAGUUUUUAAGGCAUUUUUAGAUCUUACUCAUUCAAGUGUGUCACUUCAGGUCGGGAGUAGUUCAGAAAUUGUAUACCAGUGUAGUAAAAUAUUGUUCAUCUUCUUUCCUGAAUGUAGAAUCAUUUUUACAUAAGUUUUUAAGGCAUUUUUAGAUCUUACUCAUUCAAUUGUGUGACUUCAGGUCGGGAAUAGUUCAAAAAUUGUGGCUUAUGAAAAUCUACAGACUGAGAUGAUUAAGGGCUUUGAAUCGCUAAAUCCAGACAACGUAAAACCCUAAUUAAAAAGACAUUCAAAGGCUGUGGGGAGUUGUUUGGCAAGAACAAGAUAUUCUCACUUAAACCUGGUGAAAUCAUUUUAUAUGACGCCCGUGGAGAGCAGGGCAUGGAAUUUGAUGGAUGCAUCAUUGUGAGCUGGGUGCUCUGCUGCUAUAGCCUGUCAACAGUCAAUCACCCCACUGUGUGCUGCUAUUUUUUUGUUCUAGUCUCCUGUUUUGUCAGCUGUGAUGUUUGUAGUCUGGUGCUUCAAUCCAAUAUCAAAGAAAAGAAGGGUAUAUGAGUCCUUUGUUGUGGCACAUAGACUACCAUUCCACUGGGGGCCAUCAACCUCAGACAAAUGCUCACAACGUAACCCACCCAACCGUCAUUUUCUGCCUGGUUUAAUGCUACAAAAAUCCUUUUGGCGUAAUCUAAGAUUUCUUGCCUUCAUUUCUAUUGUAGGUCGCCAGCAAACAGCUUAGGGACACAACUUUGAUUGAGAUAAAUAUCAUGGUGGUAGGUCUAUGCCUGGAGCCUCGAUAGAUAUGGUAUAUAGCCAAAACAAAUUGUAUAUCAACAUGGAGAAAGGUUAUCAUCACCAAUUUGGAGUCAAUUAAAUAUAGUUUCACAAAUAUCAGGUUCACUUGCUAGUUGUGCAGACAACCAAAUGGUAAUUUAUGAUUCUUCUACAACUGAACAAGCAUGCUACACUUGUAUAAAUGCUAAGCUUUUAUAUGUUGGCCUUUGCUUUCAGAAAUUAAAAGUUUCAAUAUAUAAUUAUGCUAAGUUCAUACAUGAAAACUAGAGUCUAACAUUUAAAGAAACAACUAAUGACUGUAUAUUUGUGUGAUUGCCAAGUAGUCUAUGCCAGUUUCUGUAAUGGUGCAAUUGGUAUUUUUAUGCAGAUAUCCUAAGGCCCUUUUUUCGUGUCCCUCCCCUUGCAUUUACUAGAGUGGCUGGUAGCAUUCUUAUCUUGUUAGGACCCGUGUUUUUAAAAGGAAUGGAUUAACAAAUUAUAGAAUAUUUCAAGGUCUUGUAGGAAAGCCAUAUAAAAUUGAAUGGAUUAACAAAUUGUAGAAAACCAUUUAUAAUUGCACGGUUCUACCAAAGGGGGGAACAUUUCAGAAUUAUUGCAUGGUAUGCUUGUUUCAUAUAGUGAAUUUAUAUCCUUUAAGAUAGUGGCUCUAUUUCUUAUUUCUAU